ensembl:lincRNA
AAUAAUAAUAUAAACAUAGGACCACUGUAUUUUUUUCCCCUCUUAGAUUAAAAUUGAUUUUCUGAUUCCCUCUAAUCUCUCCUUUCACACAUGCCUGUGGGCUAUUAACACUGAGUCAGAACAUUCCUUUUAUUUCUUCCCAUCUUGUUCCUCCUGUCUGUCAUCUGGAAGGAGAGAGUCUCCCUAAGUCAAGUCCACUCACUUGAUAUGAUUUUUAAUUUAUACCCAAGGGAGGGCUGAUGAUACUCAACCUUGGCAGAGUGCCCUCCACAUCCUUGUCAGCCAGAAUCACCUCUCCCCUUCUCUCUCUCUGUCUUAUUUCUCUCUCCCAUAGUCACUCACAUGAAGCAAACUACUUAACCAACCCCAGAUGCAGUGAGUCAUCCCUCUAGGAAUCCUCCGACUUUACCGCAGCGCAUCUCCCCUUCCCCAGUUUCUGGCUGCACCUUACCCCUACUCUCUCCCCUCCCACCAUCCAGGAUGCCCUGCUCCCUGAGACCUCAGAUCUCUCAGGAAGGUCCAUCCCCUCCAGCCCACAGGACAGCUGCUGCUUCUCCCAGACUCAGGGAGAGGCCGGGGUGAGGCCUGUGGCUACAGGACACAGCAGAGGUUUGUCACGUUGAUGAGAACUCAGCCAAUCUCCUGGGAAUCCUACUGAUAAUGUCUGGGGUGAAGUCACAAUGACCUCCCUCCUGGAGUCUGCAUGGGGCAGACGUCCUCCCUCUGCCCUUCCUUGUCUCCACCUCCCGGAAUCUCUGACCCAGGAGUUCGUUUGCAGGACUUGAUCUUUGCUGUGCUGCUCACACCCAGCACCCAGGGAGGACCUGGUCCACAGGACACAGUCAGCAGUGCCAGUAGAAAGCGUCCUGAGGACACAGCCUUGGGCAGGCACACCAGGCUCAGCCUCACAGAGACAGUGAUGCCAGCCUUGGAGGGAACCAAAGGAGAGAAGUGGCGGCGGGUGUUUACUGCAGUGGUCCAGCACAUUUACCUGGGGAAACAGUGUGGAGACCAAGAGUGAAGGGUACGGAGGGAGGGGAGGGUCUGUAGGCUGAUUCCAGUUUCCAACCUUCCGAUCUCUUGCACACUGGCUCUGAUGCUUCUUGAGGUCACAUCACAUCUGUCACACUUUUUAGAGUAAGGAUCACAGUAUUCCAAUAUCUAUUCAGGGGCCUGUGUUAGCAUAUUCACGUGGCUGCUUCACCUGAGGCUCCAUAGGCUUCUCAGAGCAAGAUCAGAGGUCAGCCCUCCAUCCCAAAGGAAAGUUGGGGCUGGCAGAGGGCCCAAAGUCCAUUCCGUCUCACGGUUCUGCCUUCCCUGGGACAUCACCCUAGUCCACGUUUGGACCCCAUCCUCAUAUCUGCAACCCAGCUUGCAGGAGGGGAAAGGGACAGGAAGCAGAGGGCGGUCAGCUUCCUUAUUAGGAAGUGAGAGCGUCACACCUGCCAACAUCUCAUUGGCCAGCACUUAGUCACAUGACCACAACUCACUGCAAAGGCGCAUGGGGAAUGCAGUCUCCAGCUCAGGGUAGAAUAUCAGAUACUAGACUAGGGAAAUUAGAGGGAGAACGCAUAUUAGAGGCUACAUUUUAGUCUUUCCAUCAGACUACAAGUUGAGAAGGGAAUGGCUGUGUAGUUCUUUCUUUCAGCAGCGCAAGCACGAGUUCCGAUGCACAAUAGUUUCUUGGUAAACAUUCGAUGACUGUAGGAAUGUAUGAUAAUAAAGGGA